rnacentral:lncRNA from 1 species
UAAAUUUGUCGUUGUUGGUGAUAAGUUUUUUCAUCGAUCAAGAGCUUCUUGUCAUAAAAAUGAUAGGAACAUAUCCAAGCCUGCUCAUCUAAAAAAGAUCGUUACACUCCACCACCGGCCAAUACUCAAUCUAUGUAAAUUAGAUUCGUGUCCUUGUCCUUUACACAAUCAACUUAUUGAUUCGAAGCUUAAAGAAAUUAGGUCAGAGUGAGAGAGAGGAAAAAGCCAAAAAUAAAUAAAUAAAUAAAUUACGUUUCACUUACGACUCAAGAUAUUCCACUAUAUUUGAACAUGUGUUUUGUCUAGAAUAUAAAUUGUACACUUAAAAAGUAUAUGAUAUUGUAUGCCAGAUUUGAAAGCUCAGCAUUAUUGCACGUUUGAAAGUAUCACAAUAUUUUAUCUUUUAUUGAGGUCAUCGACGUGUUCUUUGGUCAAACCUCAUUGUCAUGGACAAAUGAGAAUUAUUACAGAAAAUUAUUUUAAAAGGUCACAUAUUGUUUAUUUAAUAAUAAUAGGGAUCUCAAAAAUUAAAUUAUUAUUAUUAUUAAUAAAAACAAUGAUAACAAUCAUAUUAACAACAACAACAACAAUAAUAAUGAUAAUAAUAAUAAUUAUUAUUAUUAUUAAUAAAAACAAUGACAGAAUAAUAAUAAUAACAAUAACAAUGAUAAAAUAAUAAAACAAUAUAUUAAUGCAAGACAAAAGUAGAAUUAUGAAAUUUAGUUGGAGUAAAAUGGUGGGUUUAAAGAAUGAAAACUUAAUUUCCAUGGGAGAUGAGAAUUAAAUUUUCGUUCCUUAAUCCUUAAAGUGCAUGAGCUCUAUAUAUUUCAUUCUAAUUUCUUUAUUGUUUUAAUAAGUAAAUAUCAUUAAUUAUUUUUAUUCUAAAUUCAAAUUCUUCAAUCUCUCAAGUAAACACUAUUAACGGUGCGAUGCUAUAUUAAUUAAAAAGGGCUUGGGAGAGGACCAAUGAAGGGAAAGAAAAAAAAAACUUUUCUAAUAUUUUAUAAACUACUAUCGAACUUCAUUUUUUUCAAACUAUUAUAACCAUACCAAUGGGGUGACUAUUUACCUUAAAAUUAAGAGGAGAAGAUGGGGAGAAGAUGACGACCACUUCAAUUAAUUCAAUUGCAAUUAAAUAAUUAAAAAAUUGAAUAGAGAAAUUAAAAUUAAAAGAGAAGAAGAAUAACACUAACCUCCCUAGUGUUUUUCACUUUUACUACUUAAUUAAAUCUUUGAUUUUUUUCGUUACAAAAAAUCUUUAUUUUUUUAAUUAGUUAUUGCAUCUUUUACGUUAAAAUAAUAUAAAAUACACUCUUUUUUUUGCAUUGUAACCUUACUAUUAAAUUUUAAUAUGGUUUGUUUGUCAAAAGGUAAAUUAAUAUGGUGGUACACUGUAGACUCUACGCAACAUUAGUUCGUCGCCAUUUAUUAACUUAUAUUUUAAAUUUUUUUUAAAAAAAAGACAAUUUACAAACUUGGUAGCUGACAGCUGACUCCACAUUCUUUAAUUGGUAAGAAACAAGAAGUUAUAUUAUAUUCACAGCUGAUCAGCUAUCCAAAUCUUAUAUUUCUAAGUAAUGUUAAUAAAUAUUAUAAAAAUUAUGUUGAACACUUUAAUUUAAAAAAAAAAAAUUUAUUAUAUCAUCAUCUAUUACACGAAGGGUCCGACUGUAUUGCUCUACUAUAAUGUACUGCUAUAACCAUACGAUCAUAGCAAUAAUUUAUUUUUUACUAUUUAUAUAUCAUUUUGAUCGUGUGGUUAUGAGACAGUACUCUACAAUGGAGCAACACCAUAGCCAUUGUGUUAUAUGAAUUACUAUUAAUUGUAAGAUAGAUUAAAUGUAUCUUACAAUUAAGUUUUUUAGUACAAAAAUGAAAAAUGAAAUAUGAAAUAGUGGAAUCAAAAGGCCCAGUGAAUGUAUUUUACCUAGUUAUAAGUUACAUUAAAUGUAAUUUAGAGAGACCCUCAAGGCAAUAUAUUAUAAGUCAUUAUUAUAUGAUUUCUUUUAAUACUAAUAUAAUACUCAUUUUUAAUGGAUAUUUCUCAUGUUAUUAAACGCUAGAAUUUUUAUUUCCAACAUCUUAUACUUAGAUGGACAAUGAGGAAUUCAUUAUUUUGAAAAAAAUUUGACUACAAAUUAUGUGCAAUACUUUUUAUUGUAAAAUAGCCUUUUCUUUUAACUUCUUCUUCUCCUAAUCUCCUUCUUUUUUUUUUAAAGUAUUUAUAGAAUUAUUAUUUUUUUUUGAGCACAAAAUUCAAUAUUGAAGAUAAAUAAAUAAAAUUAAUAAUUAAAUUGAAUAAAAUAAUUUUUGUACAAUUUGACUUAAUUAUAUUGUUGUAAAUAUGCAUUAAAUCUCUUAAAAUUAUGUGUCUUAAACAUUUUUUGGUGUUUUAAACAAAUAAAGUUAAUUAAUUUUUAAAAAAUUUAAAAAUUUUGAAUUUUUUAAAUUAAUAUUUAAAAUACACAUAAUAAUAAAAUUUUCAAAAUAAUUUUUAAAACGAAAUGACACCAAGAGAAAAAUACACUCGUUUUCGCACUUUCCCCUCCUUGUUCUGUUGUUCAUUUAUAUUAUUUUAAUCAUAUAUUCCGUUCAUUCACAAUAAAUUGACUUUUAAAUUAUAUUAGAUCAAAUCUGUUUACUAAAGAUGGAAAAACAUUCCAAGAACCUUACAUAACAUCACAAGUCACAAAAGCGCCACAAAACAAACAGAGGGAGAGAGAAAUUCUUACUUUGGUUCUAGAUGGCGACGGUCGGAGCUUGCAUCUUUUCGGCCGUUUCCUCGCCGGUUUUUCGUCGACAAAUUACGUCGUCGUCCGAGAAGCCGAAACGGAAUCCUAUAUUGAAGCGAGUAGCGGUGUCAACGGAGCGGACAUCAGCUGCAACGACGACAGUGAUGACGGAAACGACGCCGACGAGGAUAUUUGUGGAGAAGAAGAGUAGCGAGUUAGUAGAAGAUGAAGCUGAGACGAAACAGAGAGUUAACGUGAGAGAAUAUUCGGAGGAGGAGAGUGAAGGUAACGGAAAGAGCUUGAAAGAUUACUUUGAUGAAGCCGAAGAUAUGAUCAAAUCGUCAUCAGGCGGCGGUCCGCCCCGCUGGUUCUCGCCUUUAGAAUGCGGGUCCCACACUCGCGAUUCUCCUCUCCUCCUCUUUUUGCCUGGUGCGUUUCUCUUUUUAGCCAAUCGGUUAUUAUUGUUUAUGUCGUCACCUUUUACAUUUUUUAAUGCUCAUGCUUUAUCCAAAAAUCAUUUGCUAAUUAUUAACAUACUUUUUAUAAUAUUUUACGGGAUCAGGCUACGGUGCAACUGUGGUACCGUGUCACAGUUGCAUCCAGCC